rnacentral:lncRNA from 1 species
UCCCCUCUUCAUGUCCAAAGAGUUGGACAUCCAUCUGGCAAAGAUCCAAGGCGUGGUGACGCCUGGAACAGAAGGCUGCAGGACUUCUUCGAUAGGCUGCUGCUCCAACUUCAGGAAGACUUUUGAAGAUCUUCCUAAUUAGAUUUACAUCUGAUUUUUGGAGCAUAGAUUCACGAGAAGAAGAUGUUCUAAGUCCUACUCAAAUGGAUACCGGUAGAGGCCAGAUGCUUGCGUGGCUACAUCAGAACCUCGGGCUGUGCAGAGAUCAUCUACAGGGUAAUC